rnacentral:lncRNA from 1 species
GCCUCUCCUUCUCCCCGGCCUCAAUUUUACCUCCCGUAGCUCUGUCUCCUAUAGCCCCACUCAUACAAUGCCCCAGGCCCAGCCCCCUCUCCCUGCUCUAGCAUCUGUCCCGUUUGCCUCUUAACACUCGCGUCCUUCUAACCCUACACCAACCCGUGCCAUGUUUGCUCCUCCUCCGAGCUCACCACCUAUGUCGUCCUCUGUCCCCCCAGGCCUACCCUCUCAUCCCCCUUCUGCCAUCACUUCGAUCAGCCUCCUUACAUCAUCUCCUUCUCGUUCUAAAGACCCGCACGGCAAAAUUAUUUUUCUGUACAUCGUCCCUAUUUCAUCUGGUACAUCUUCUCCUUCUUCUUCUAAUACUUCUCUAGUAAGUAUAUCCAAUACUCAUUUAAUGGCUA